rnacentral:tRNA from 1 species
GCCGCCUUAGCUCAGUCGGUUAGAGCGCUUGAUUGUGGAUCAAGAGGUCCCCCGUUCGAACCGGGGAGGCGGUACCA